rnacentral:tRNA from 1 species
GCUCCCAUCGACUAGUGGUUAGGUCACCACUCUUUCAAGGUGGUAGCACGGGUUCGAAUCCCGUUGGGAGUA